AGUGGCGAACGGGUGAGUAACACGUGGGCAACCUGCCCAAAAGAGGGGGAUAACACUUGGAAACAGGUGCUAAUACCGCAUAACCAUAGUUACCGCAUGGUAACUAUGUAAAAGGUGGCUAUGCUACCGCUUUUGGAUGGGCCCGCGACGCAUUAGCUAGUUGGUGGGGUAAAGGCUUACCAAGGCAAUGAUGCGUAGCCGAACUGAGAGGUUGAUCGGCCACAUUGGGGCUGAGACACGGCCCAAACUCCUACGGGAGGCAGCAG
rnacentral:rRNA from 1 species